AGAGCAACUCUAACAGGAAGAAAUGAAACAAAAUAAAUUAACAAGCGGAAGCUAUAGGAUGACUAUGCCUCAUCUCCAUGUACGCCCGACCUCGACUAAGCUAACCUGCAAGCUGGGCAUUUUUAAAACGAAAGGCCCAAGGGAAAACACUUAACAACGUUAGAGUGAGUGGACAAAAAUAAAUUAAUAAAAAUAUUUAUGCUUCCCCAUUUUAAUUUCCAAAGAAAAUAUACUGCAUGCGGCAGCUCAAAAGCGCUCAACACAAAAACUGGAAAUUUCAUGACUAGCUCCAGCUAGUCUCCAUAACUCAAAGAAAUACAGCCUCUUAGGCUAAACUAUAUAUAAACAUAUAUAAGUGUAUGUAUUUACACUCGUCAGACUCCUUAUAUGAAUUCUAAGAACAAAUUAGAAAAAUAGAAAUUCAUACAAGGCUACUACGCUUGCGUCUAACGCUCACGUCACACCAUAAUGGAAUUGUACCUCAGUAUGGCGGAAAAAGCACGAGUGUAUAUACGUGUGGACUCCCUAUAUGAAAACCUAAAUAAACCAAAUAAGAAAAUAGUUUUCAUAUAGGGCUACUAUGCUUGUGUCUAACACUCACGUCACACCAUAAUGGUAUUUUACCUCAUUAUGGCGGAUCAAACACGUAUGGCUAGCUAGCAUUUACAUAUACAUACUAUCAUCAUAAACAUCCAAUAAACAUAUCCACCGAAAAUCUCAUUUUCGGGAUCUCUCCAAAGGAGGAAAAUUGCCAAAUAUCCGAGAAAUAAAUAAAUCUCAGGAAAAGAAAUAAAUGAUCAACAGAUAAUUCAUCGCAUGCUUUUCAAUUAAAAUAAAGGUCCACUCACAACUCUAGGCAUAAGCCUGACAAAAUCCAAAUCGCCACUCCAACGAGGUUUCCUCGAACCCUGGCACAAAUAUAUAAUUAAAUUCCCAACUAAAAUCCAAUAUUUAAACAAAAUAGGCAAAAUUAAAUAUGAGCCGCAACCACGUACGCUCAUCCUUGCCCAACUUCGCCUUUCCUAAAACGAAACGAUCCAACUUUAAUACCAUAAACGGCAGCCGUAAUUACAACCUCCCAAAAAAUACGACUUAAAUCCUACGGCCGGAUUCUACAUUAAUUAACCGCAAAAAAUACCACACUUUGGAAAUUCAUAAACCUAUCCAAAACUCAUCCAAAAAUUCCAUAACUCACUUCAACAAACUCCCCUUAAUAUUCUAAAUUUAAAACCCUAAAAAUCUUCCAAACAGUGGCGGCGCCGGCGGCAGCUCCGCCGGCAGCGGCGGUCGGAGGCCGAUUUCGGCGACCUCCAAUGCCUAUGAAAUUUUUACAGAAUAAACCUCUCAUCAUGCUCUACAACUUUCCUAACUAGCACAAACACCAAUUCCAAGCCUAACUAGGGUAAUUGACUAAAAACAUCAAAAACGCUCUAGAAUUUCAACUUCACCUUUCUCCUUACCUAGCUCAAGAGAGGGUGAGCUGUUUGGAGGGGUUGCUGCACGGGAGGAGGGCUACAAAACGAGCCAAGGAUCGCCGGUUUUGGUGGCCGAAGGAGGGAGUUCCGACGACCGGAAGUUCUAGGCAGUCGAACCUCUCGAGCGGCAACGCUCUCUCACGGCGGCGCUAGGGAUCCUCUCACCGGUCCAGGAAGAAGGCUGGGUCGACGGCCGUCCGUUUGGGACCGGCCCGGUGGUCAGAGGCGACCAGACGAGGGCGAACGGCCGGGAAGAAAAUCCGGCGAAGGGAGAGGGAGAGAGAAUCGGGAGGGAGGAGAGAGAAGAGAAAGGAUUUGGGCUUUUCCCGAACCGGUCCAACACCAUCACUUAAAACCCAACUCUAAAAUUUAACACCCUAAAAUAAUACCCUAAUCAAAAUUACCUUUUACUAGCUAAAAUUUUACCAUUUUUACCGUCGUCAUAAUUUUCUCCUACGAAUAAUCCUCCGCAUAUAAUCGUCCCCGAAACCCCUCUAGGGACCAAUUAAACUAUUUCCUCAAUGACGAAGACGGUAAAAUUCUUAUUAUAACCAAGCUAGUAAAUAAGGUAAAAAUUUAAGGGUCGGGAUGUGACAAUCCAUG
rnacentral:lncRNA from 1 species